rnacentral:rRNA from 1 species
UACGUAGGGGGGCUAGCGUUGUCCGGAAUCAUUGGGCGUAAAGAGCGCGUAGGCGGCCAGAUAAGUCCGGUGUGAAAGUCAAAGGCUCAACCUUUGAAAGCCGGUGGAUACUGUGGGGCUAGAGUACGGAAGAGGCGAGUGGAAUUCCUGGUGUAGCGGUGGAAUGCGCAGAUAUCAGGAGGAACACCAAUAGCGAAGGCAGCUCGCUGGGACGUUACUGACGCUGAGGCGCGAAAGCGUGGGGGAGCGAACAGG